UACGUAGGUGGCAAGCGUUGUCCGGAUUUACUGGGCGUAAAGAGCGCGCAGGCGGUCGUUCAAGUCGCGUGUGAAAGCCCCCGGCUCAACUGGGGAGGGUCACGCGAUACUGAUCGACUCGAAGGCAGGAGAGGGUAGUGGAAUUCCCGGUGUAGUGGUGAAAUGCGUAGAUAUUGGGAGGAACACCGGUGGCGAAGGCGGCUAUCUGGACCAUUUCUGACGCUGAGGCGCGAAAGCGUGGGGAGCAAACAGG
rnacentral:rRNA from 1 species